rnacentral:lncRNA from 1 species
UCACCGCAUGAGAUGGGCAGUGCCUCAGCCGUUGUGGACACAAACGAGGUCGCCGCCAAGAUCACCUCGUCAUGGGCUACUCAUCAUCCACCGCACGAGGUGCUCCGACACUUCACCCUAAACCCUUACUUCUUCAUAAGUACUGAGUUACCUAUGCCAUAGGAUUUAAACAGUUACAUAAUUGAAAAUUGACGUGUGAUUUCAAGGCUCGUACUGGCUUUUCCUUACCCUAUUUUCUCUCUCAUACGCUAGCGAUGUCCAAUAUAUUGUAGCUAAUGAUUAUUUAUCCCUGUUUGUAUGAUGUUAUGUAAGUGAUUCUCUCUCUUUUUCUUUCUUUUCCAUGUCUAAAAUCUGCAUAUAUUGAGAGAUAAAAUUGUCUUGUUCAUAAUUUCAAUGUUUG